AUGGUUCAUGGCAAAAGAUUAAAUGCACAAAAGUUUUCAGUUGGAGGGACUCCAAGGAAAGUGCUAUACCACAGCGAUAGUAGAACACUGUUGGUUAUGAGAACUGGUUUAACUGGUGCAUCAUGUUCUUCAGAUAUUGUCCAAAUAGAUCCUAAUAAUGGGAUCUUGCUUUCCCGAUUCAAGUGUGAACUUGGUGAAACUGCAAAAUGCAUCCAGAUUGUGAAAAUAGGAAGUGAGCAAGUGUUAAUUGUUGGGACAAGUAAAUCUACUGACCGGCCGAUGAUGCCAAAUGGCGAAGCAGAAAGGUUAACAUCUCAUCUAUUCUUUCUAAUUAAGUGCUGCUGUCCUGUCAGAUAUCUUUGA
rnacentral:rRNA from 1 species